AAAGGAGCUAUGCGGAUAAACGUCGGCGAGAACUGGAAUUUCAAGUUGGCGAUCAUGUAUUCCUGAAAGUUUCACCGACAAAGGGAGUUAAGAGAUUUGGAAUUCACGGAAAGCUGAGUCCUCGGUUUAUUGGACCCUACGAAGUGUUGGAACGGAUAGGCCCCGUAGCGUAUCGGCUUGCUUUGCCGCCAAACCAAUCAGGAGUACACAAUGUGUUUCAUAUAUCUAUACUUCGAAAGUAUAUUUUUGAUCCAACCCACAUACUUGAGAGUACCCCAGUGGAUUUGCUAGAAGAUUUGAGUUUUGAGGAACAUCCCGUGAGAAUCCUAGCUUGUGAAGUGAAACGGCUUUGAACCCGCGAGAUACCCUACGUAAAGAUCCUUUGGAGCAGUCAUGAUGAACGGGAAGCCACUUGGGAACUGGAGAGUGCGAUGUUAGAGCACUAUCCCUAUCUUUUCUCGACGGAAUUUUGAGCUCGACCUGGGAUGCUCAGUAGAGGUUGCUGGAGCUCAGAAUUUGGUCCUCCACCUUCUCCACUCUCUCUCUCUCUAGGAUUUUUCUCUCUCUACAUAGAAUCGACGAUUUCGCCCGUUUUCGUCGCCUCGCCUGUUCUUCGCUGUUUGCCAGCAUCGCAGAGCUUACGUGGACGUGUGAGAGAGUGUUCUGGAAGGCUUUUCGCAGCCCUGAACCAGUAGUUCACUGGUUGGAAGCCUGAGGAGCAGGGUUUUGAAACAAAUUGAGCUUGAUUGGUGACCUUGGGGACUGGUUUAGAAGGUGUUCUAACCUGAGCGAGAGUGCAAUCGACCCUUGGAUUGUCUUCAGCAAGCUUGAGAGAGCCCUUGGAGAGUUAUUUUGAGCAGGAUUGGGGCUUCGUUGAGCUGAAUAUUGGGACUUCUUGUGACUGAUCUGAGCCUAGUAAGAGAGCCAUCUACAAGAGAGGCUAGGGAUCGUGGCAAGAGAGUCGCGUCUAGCUAGAC